rnacentral:rRNA from 1 species
GAUGAACGCUGGCGGCGUGCCUAAUACAUGCAAGUCGAGCGAACAGACGAGGAGCUUGCUCCUCUGACGUUUGCGGCGGACGGGUGAGUAACACGUGGAUAACCUACCUAUAAGACUGGGAUAACUUCGGGAAACCGGAGCUACUACCGGAUAAUAUAUUGAACCGCAUGGUUCAAUAGUGAAAGACGGUUUUGCUGUCACUUAUAGAUGGAUCCGCGCCGCAUUAGCUAGUUGGUAAGGUAACGGCUUACCAAGGCAACGAUGCGUAGCCGACCUGAGAGGGUGAUCGGCCACACUGGAACUGAGACACGGUCCAGACUCCUACGGGAGGCAGCAGUAGGGAAUCUUCCGCAAUGGGCGAAAGCCUGACGGAGCAACGCCGCGUGAGUGAUGAAGGUCUUCGGAUCGUAAAACUCUGUUAUUAGGGAAGAACAAAUGUGUAAGUAACUAUGCACGUCUUGACGGUACCUAAUCAGAAAGCCACGGCUAACUACGUG